rnacentral:rRNA from 1 species
UGGGGAAUAUUGCACAAUGGGCGGAAGCCUGAUGCAGCGACGCCGCGUGAGGGAUGACGGCCUUCGGGUUGUAAACCUCUUUCGACAGGGACGAAGCGUGAGUGACGGUACCUGGAGAAGAAGCGACGGCUAACUACGUGCCAGCAGCCGCGGUAAGACGUAGGGCGCGAGCGUUGUCCGGAUUUAUUGGGCGUAAAGAGCUCGUAGGCGGCUCGUUGCGUCGGCUGUGAAAACCCGCAGCUCAACUGUGGGCUUGCAGCCGAUACGGGCGGGCUUGGAUUCGGUAGGGGAGACUGGAAUUCCUGGUGUAGCGGUGAAAUGCGCAGAUAUCAGGAGGAACACCGGUGGCGAAGGCGGGUCUCUGGGCCGAUAUCGACGCUGAGGAGCGAAAGCGUGGGGAGCGAAC